GCUUUGGGAAUGUGGCUCCUCCGGGAGUGUUAUAGCCCAUUGUGUAAUACCCUGUGGUGGACUGAGGUUCGCGCAUCUGCAAGGAUGCUGGCGUAAUGGUCAUCAGCGA
rnacentral:rRNA from 1 species